rnacentral:rRNA from 1 species
ACACUGGCACUGAAACACGGGCCAGACUCCUACGGGAGGCAGCAGUGGGGAAUCUUGCACAAUGGGGGAAACCCUGAUGCAGCGACGCCGCGUGAGCGAUGAAGCCCUUCGGGGUGUAAAGCUCUUUCGGCAGGGAAGAUGAUGACGGUACCUGCAGAAGCAGCUGCGGCUAACUACGUGCCAGCAGCCGCGGUAAUACGUAGGCAGCAAGCGUUGUUCGGAGUUACUGGGCGUAAAGGGUGUGUAGGCGGUUCCUUAAGUUUGGUGUGAAAUCUCCCGGCUCAACCGGGAGGGUGCGCCGAAUACUGAGGAGCUAGAGUGCGGGAGAGGAGAGUGGAAUUCCUGGUGUAGCGGUGAAAUGCGUAGAUAUCAGGAGGAACACCGGUGGUGCAAACGGCUCUCUGGACCGUAACUGACGCUGAAACACGAAAGCGUGGGUAGCAAACAGGAUUAGAUACCCUGGUAGUCCACGCCCUAAACGAUGCAUAUUUGGUGUGGGUCAUUCAGUUGAUCCGUGCCGGAGCUAACGCGUUAAAUAUGCCGCCUGGGGAGUACAGUCGCAAGGCUGAAACUCAAAGGAAUUGACGGGGGCCCGCACAAGCGGUGGAGCAUGUGGUUCAAUUCGACGCAACGCGAAGAACCUUACCUGGGCUCGAACGGCUGGUCAACGACCUUGGAAACAGGGUUACUCCGCAAGGGGGUCCAGUCGAGGUGCUGCAUGGCUGUCGUCAGCUCGUGUCGUGAGAUGUUGGGUUAAGUCCCGCAACGAGCGCAACCCUCGUCCUGUGUUGCCAUGGCGCAAGCCGGAACUCGCAGGAGACCGCCAGCGAUAAGUUGGAGGAAGGUGGGGAUGACGUCAAGUCCUCAUGGCCUUUAUGUCCAGGGCUACACACGUGCUACAAUGGCCGGUACAAUACGCUGCUAACCUGCGAAGGGGAGCCAAUCGCCAAAAACCGGUCUCAGUUCGGGUUGCAGGCUGCAACUCGCCUGCAUGAAGCUGGAAUCGCUAGUAAUGGCAGAUCAGCACGCUGCCGUGAAUACGUUCCCGGGCCUUGUACACACCGCCCGUCACAUCACGAAAGUGGAUUGUACUAGAAGUCUGCAGGCCGACCCGCAAGGGGGGCAGCGGCCCAAGGUAUGAUCCAUGAUUGGGGUGAAGUCGAACAAGGUAGCCGUAGGAGAACCUGCGGCUG